UUUCCUUCUGCAGAUGCCGACACUUGACGGCCUAUUUGUAUAGCUUUUUAUUUUUAUUUUAGAUCUUUUAUAAUUUUAAUUUAAUAUAAUAAAAUGAUAAAAUUUAUUUAUAAAUUUAUUAUAUAAAUUAUUUAUUUUAAUUUAUUAUUUUUAAUUCAUAAAAAAUAUUAUAAAUAUAAAUUUAAUAUAUACAUUCAUAAAUUAUUUAUAAAAAAAUAUGUG
rnacentral:lncRNA from 1 species